CUUCAGCCCGGCCCUAAUAACAUCUCUUAUAAAGCUAUGAUCAACUGCGCGUCACUCAUGAUUCAUCUGCAUUGCAAGUGCUAAUUCUCCCAGAGGAAGAGAAGAUUAAGAUGGGGUUUAUAAUGGAGUUUGCUGAGAAUUUGAUUCUGAAGCUGAUGGAGGAUCCAAAGGAGAGGGAUCGAAGGGCCCGAGAGCGCUUGUAUGCGGUGAAGGAUCGAUGCGACAGGACCAAGGAGAUAUGGUCCUUUCCGAUUCGCCCUUAUGGAUUCUGGACUUUCGAGCGCCACAAUUCUCAGCUCGCUUGGGACCCUCAGAUUAGCCAGGUGCCCGGUCGGAGGGACCCCUACGACGACCUUCUCCAACAGAACUUUUACAAGUCCAAGUAAAUGAAUGCAUUGUGGCUUAGAAGGGGAUGAUGGGAAGUGAGAUACACAAACAAUUCUUGACAUGACUUCCUGGGAAACUAAAAGGGACUGGCUUUGAAGAAAAUCUUGUUACACCCUAUGUUUUGAUUCCACUGAACUUUCUCUUAACCAAAAUCAAAUUGGAAAUUGAAUUUCUUUUGUUAAAUUUUGCUGUCAAGAAAAGAUAUAUUAGUUUUGUUUCAUUGAUGCAGGAAGCUCAGAAGCCAUUAGCAGAAUGCUUUACAUCUGUCUUAAAGGGUGGAGGAUUCCAGGAUGUUAUUUUAGCUUGAUUUGAUCAGUAUUCAGUCUUAUAUUAUAUAACCACAGCAGGUCUGUAAUACCUGAAUAUUGCUGAUUGGUCUUUGAGUAUGAAUAAAUUUUCAUGUAACUGUGGUGCUUUUGAAGAUAUUUUUGUGGGAAUAUUUACUGCUUUCAUCAAUUCUCCUUACAUGUCCUUUGAUAGUGUCCUCCUGAAGUGUUACUGGUAUGGAUCCCUCGGGCAGCUUAUAAAUUCAAGAUAUGCAAAAUAGUUCUUGUUAUGGUUACAAAAUCAAGUCUAGAGAGCGAGACAUGGCAACACGACAUUAGUAGGCCUAUUUGGAUGUGAUUGCCAGGAUCUCUUUGUAAAAUGUUCAUUGUCAGCAGUUAUCUGUUUCUUGUGAUCUUUUAGAGGGUUGUAAAACUAAAUGGAGGAUAUAAUUUGUUAGAGAAGUUAUAGCCAUGAUGAUUAUGUGAUGUAUUGACAGUGGAUCCCGUAAGCAGUAAAAUUCCUGAGAGAAUCAAAAGGUCGAUUGAUUUCUUAAAAUUA